GAAAGAAGUAGCUUAACACAAAGCGUAACACUGAAAAUGUUAAGAUAGCGCACAACUCUCAUUCAC
rnacentral:tRNA from 1 species